rnacentral:rRNA from 1 species
GACGAACGCUGGCGGCGUGCUUAACACAUGCAAGUCGAGCGGUAAGGCCCUUUCGGGGGUACACGAGCGGCGAACGGGUGAGUAACACGUGGGUGACCUGCCCUCAGCUCUGGGAUAAGCCUGGGAAACUGGGUCUAAUACCGGAUAUGACUCCAUGACGCAUGUUGUGGGGUGGAAAGCCUUGUGCGGCUGAGGAUGGGCCCGCGGCCUAUCAGCUUGUUGGUGGGGUGANGGCCUACCAAGGCGACGACGGGUAGCCGGCCUGAGAGGGCGACCGGCCACACUGGGACUGAGACACGGCCCAGACUCCUACGGGAGGCAGCAGUGGGGAAUCUUGCGCAAUGGGCGAAAGCCUGACGCAGCGACGCCGCGUGAGGGAUGACGGCCUCGGUU